UACGUAGGGUGCAAGCAUUAAUCGGAAUUACUGGGCGUAAAGCGUGCGCAGGCGGUUCUCCAAGUCCGUUGUGAAAGCCCCGGGCUCAACCUGGGAAUGGCAGUGGAAACUAGGGGACUGGAAUCUGGCAGAGGGGGGUGGAAUGCCGCGUGUAGCAGUGAAAUGCGUAGAGAUGCGGCGGAACACCGAUGGCGAAGGCAGCCCCCUGGGCUGAGAUUGACGCUCAGGCACGAAAGCGUGGGGAGCAAACAGG
rnacentral:rRNA from 1 species